CAAAAUCGAGGAAUUACCGUUAACAGUUUACCUCAAACCCGGACUCGUAGCUAUUGCUUGUGCCGUCGAAGAAAUGAGUUUUUCAUUGCUUUUUCAAGUCAGUGAAGCCGAAGACCACUUAAAUCUAAGCCGUCGUUUGAAAGUUCACGAUAUUCAGCUGCCUUAUCCUUUUAAAAUGAAUGUUUUAAACGAUUUUAAGCAUUCUCGCGCGUUGUUUGAUAUAUUUAAUAUUAAUCAUCUCAUAUAUCACUCGUCAGAAUAUGACAAGCAAAGUCUAGCAGCAGCUUAUAAAUAUCUUUUACAUAUCGUACGCAUUUUAAUGUUGCGUUUUAUAUGCUAGACGGAGAUUAGGAUUAUUAUUCUCCGUACUAGUUAUUGCUGAUACAGGGUCUAGAUGUUCUUCAGUAGGACCAUUUUGUCCAACAAAAUGAAGGCUAUAAAUGAAGGCUAUACAAAAAUAUAACUAUCCUUCGUACAUAUAAAUUUAUCGCCUCUGUGACAUGCACGUAUCCAGCCCUCUCGUUUUUGCGCUG